AUGAACUGAGACGUGAUGUAAUAUAAAAUAUACACUGGAUUUGGAAGACUUAGUACAAAAAGCAAACUAUCCAUUACCUGUUUUUUAAAUAUUGAUUAUAUGCUGAAAUGAUAAUAUUUUGGAUAUACUAGGUUAAGUAAAACACUAAAAUUAGUUUCAGCUGCCUACUUUUUACUUUUUUAAAUUGAUUCCACUAGGAAAUUUUAAACUGCUCCUAUGGCUUGCAUUCCGUCCGCGUGGAGAGUGUGGGGAGUCUGGCAUGAUCAGAGAGCCCUGGUGAAGAGGGAUGCCUGUGUGCUGCCAUUUAUUUUUGCAUCGAAACAUUUUCCUAUCUGGUGGCCGUUUUCUCCUGACUGCCUGCGCCGGUUCGAGCUUCUGUGCAUGUGGAUGGAAGCCCUGGGAUCUGGCGUUUUGUCUUGUUCCUAAUCUCAGGCUCAGAGCGUUCAGUGUUCCAUCAUUAUGUAUGUCAGCUGUCGAUUUUUCAUUGAUUAUCAGUUUGAGGAAGUUCCUUACUAUUCUUGCUGAGAAUUUUUAUGAAGAAUGCAUGUUGGAUUUUGUUAAAUGCUUUUUCUGCAGCUACUGAGAUGAUCAUAUGGGAUUUUUUUCCUUUGUUAAUAUGAUAAACUAAGGUUUGAUGUUAGUCAACAUUUCAUUCCUGGGAUGAACCAUACUUGGUCAUUAUAUAUUAUCCUUUAUUUGGAUUUGAUUUGCUAAAAUUGUUUCUAAUUUUUGCACAAUGUUUAUGAUGGAUAUUGGUCUAUAGUUUUCUUUGUCAUGUUUUUUUCCCCUGCUGGUUUUGUUAUCUGCUGGCCCCACAUAAUGAAUGAGGAAGUAUUCCCUCUUUUUCAUUUUCUGGAAAAGUUUGUAUAGCAUUGGUAUUAUUUCCCCCUUAAAUUUAUGUACUUUCUAAUUUUUCUCUUUCAAUUUCUACUUUGAACUCAUGGGCUUCUGAAAAGUAUCUAUUUAAAUACCUAAUAUUUGGGGGAUUUUCCUAGGACCUUUGUGUUAGUUGCUGUAUCAUUCCUGUCACUCAUGUCACUUACAUGAUAGCACAUGUAAGUAUAUAUUAGAAAUACACACAAGCACCCACACUUGAGUACACUGUUGCCAUUACUUUGAAAACUUAUCUGUUAGAUCAGUUUAGAGUAAGAAAAAUAAGGUUUUUAUUUUACAUUCAUGUAUUCCUUCUCUCUGAAGAACUUCUUUCUGACAUAUUGCAAGGCUGGCCUAAUGGCAACGAAUUCCCUUUUUUGUUUGCCUGAGAAAGUCCAUUUCUCCUUCACUUUUGGAGGAUGAUUUCACAGGGUGCAGAAUUCCCGGUCGCUGUGUCCCUUUCUCCUUACGCCCGAGGUCUUCCACUCCCCCCUCUGCGUGCACGGCUCCGAGGGGGGCUCCGCAGGGGCUCUGGCCCUUGUCUGCCCCUCCAGAGCUGAGGCGCUCGCCUCUGACUUUCCGCGCUCCCUCCUCGCCUCUGCUCUUCUGUACAUCGAGGGUGAUGCACGCCUGGCUAUAGUCACUUGGCAUUCACCCUGUUCGGUUUUCGAGUUUCCUGGCGUGUGGAUCGGCGUCUGACGUGAAUUUUGGGAAAGUCUCCGUUACCACUGUGUCAAGGAUUUCUUCUGUCCCUUGCUUUCUCCUCCUCUGGUGACCCCAUUAUGUGUCUGUCAUGCCUGCUGCAGUCCCACAGUCCUUGGAUAUUGUUUUCCUCAGUUUCUUAUUUUUUUCUUUUUGCCGAGAUGCCCUCAAGCGCAGACACUGCUUCCUCAGCUGGGUGCCCUCGGGGGGUCCGUCGGUGCCGCGCGCCCUUCUCCCCAGCGCUCCUCCUUGGCUCUCUCCCGGGCUUCCCGUCUCUGCUUAUGUUGUCCGUCUGUUUCUGCAUGAUGUCCACUUAUCCAGGGCACAGUGGUCACAGUUAUUUCAAAUUCUGCCUGACGUGUUUUCCCACAUCCCUGCCACGUCAUGCUGCGUCUCCGAAUCGUGCUUUUGCCUUUCGGUGGCCUCGCGGUGUUCUUGGUAGGUGGACAUGCGGCAGGUGAAGGGACGUCAGUCGCGCGGUGGUGCGGCUGGGGAGGGAGGCGCCCCAUUGUCUUGGACUCCGGCUGUUCUAGGAGGGCCAGUGCCUCCAGACUCAACUUCCCAGGCGUUUCUCGGGUGUUCCCUCUGCCCCCCCAGCCCUCCUCACACGGGAGAGGACGGCUGGGGUGCGUACGUUCUUCCCUCGGGCCCGGUGGACCCGGCAAUACAGCAGCAGUCACGCUCCGGCGGACUCGUUUCUCCCGAGCGCCGACUCUGCUAAGAACUGUGUUGCGGCAAAUAGCGCAGUGGCUCCUUUUCCCUCCCUCUGCCAGACAUCGUGGGGAUGUCUCCUCCCAUGUUUGCUGUGGAAGCCUUGCGGAGCUCACGGGAGCGAGUCCCACAGAAGGGGGUCCCUCCAUGGCUGGGUCCCCUAGAGUCCCGAUUCUCAGUCACCCCUGGGUGCCCCGGGAAUGGGCCGCACGACAGUUCAGGUCUUCCUCCCUGGGCCCUGGUUCCCGAGGUGGUUUCUGAAGUCUCUCUGCUCUGGUAGCCGCGACGCACUGCAUUUGAACCCCCCACUCUGAUUGGGGGGCAGCUACUUGCCCUGUGUCCUCACCUCUCUUACAGAUCCGAAAAGAGUGAGUGCUUUUUCGGUUUGUUCAGCUCUUCACUUUUUGAUAGGAUUGGUGGUGGCUCCCCCUUCCUACUGCAGAGGAGGAAACGCAAGGCCUCCUGUCCCUCUGACCACCCAGGGUCUGUGUCUCAGGCGUGUGUACCUCAGGCAGCUGGCACGUGACGUGCCUUUUCUGCAGUGUUUCAGGCGGCCUUUUAAUGGAGGUAUUGAGAGCAUUUAUGUGAUUAUUGAUAUGCUUAAGUCUAAGCCUCUGAUCUUGCUAUUUUCUAUUUGUUUAAUACUUUGUGUUCCUCUUCCUCUGCUUUUUUCUUGGAUUGAGUAUAUUUUUAUAUUCUGUCUGAUAUGCUUCAUUGGCUUAUUUGACGUGCCUCCCUUUUGUCACUGCGGUGUUGCCUCGGGGCUGCUCUGUCCCCCCUCAGGAGGCGCCGCCCCGCACAGAACAUCGCAGUACCAUCCUCCUCCCUUCUUGGCCUCCACGCUGCUGCCGUUGUAGGUCUUACUUUCACAUAUGUUAUGAUCUGUGCAGUUCAUCAUUAUAUUCGUUUAAACAAUCAAUUACCUUUAUAUAAUUUUCUUGAUAUAGAGAUACAGAGAUGAUAAGAGAAAAUACGUGUUCACCUACAUAGUCACCAUCUUCUUCUGUGCAGAUUUAUAAGCAGUUUCUUGCAGUGCAGGUCUACAGGUUCUGGCAGCUUUCUGAGAAACUCUGCCAUUGGCCUUUGAUUCGAGCAGUGUUUUUGCUGGAUACAGGCUGACAAUUAUUUUUCUUUUAGUACUGAAAUGUUGCUCCACCUGGCUUCUUGUUCCCAUUGUUUGCAACAAGAAAACUAUCUUAUUGUUGUUCCUUGGUGUGUGUCUUUUUUCCUCCAGCUUGUUAAGAUUUAGCACUGGUCUUAGCCAUGUGAUUAUAAUAUGCACUGGCAGAGCUUUCAUACUUCUCGUGCUUAGGGUUAGUUGAACUUUUUAGAUUUGUGUGUUUAUAAAUAUCAUCAAGUUCAGAAAUUUGAGGCCAUUAUUUCUUCAGAUAUUUCUGUUGUACCCCACGCUUCUGUCCGUCGGGACUGCAGUCAUGCGCGCAUGGGCCCCGGGAGCUCCUGUAUCACUGCCUCGGGUGCCUCUGCGUCUCGCUCUGGGUGGCGCUCCCGGCACUGUCUUCAAGUCCACUAAGCUUGCCUCGUUCAUUGUCCCAUUUGCUGUUAAUACUCUUCAGUGUACAUCUCGCAUAUUGUAGUUUUCAUCUCCAGCAGUUCAAUUUGGGUCUUUUAAGAUCCUCCAUGUCUCUACUUAACUUCUGAACAUAUGAAAUACAAGUUAUAAUAAUUUUAGUUUAUGUUACAUUAAUUUGUAUCAAUGUCAAUUUUAUAACAACUUCAAUGGUCUUGUCUGUUAAUUCUAACAUCUGUAUCAGUUCUGGGUUGGUUUGAAUUAAUUUUUCUCCAUAUUAUGGGUUUUACUUCUCUGGUAUUUUGCAUGCCUGAUAAUUCUUUUUGAAUUUACUGGAUGUUGGAUAUUUUUGUAUUUCUAUAAAUAUUCUUUAUUUGUUGUAGGACUCAGUUAACUUGGGAAUUGAUCUCUCUGGGUUUGCUUUUAAGUUGUGUUAGGUGGGACUGGAAUGAUGUUCAAUCUAGGGCUAAUUACUCCCCUCCAGCCCAGUGAGCCAAGACCCUUCUGUACACCCCACCUCAUGCCCCAGGAGUUGUGAGAUUUUCCGGUCUGACUGGUGCCCUACUCCAGCGUUUGGCUGACUGCUCGGGAGGCUCCCUCUGUAGUUCUCUGAGGAAUUCUGUGUAGCCCCUGCUCCCCAGGGCACCGCCCUACAGAUCCCAGCUGUCCUGGCCGGCUCUCAGUCCCACACAAGGAGUGUGUCCGGCUCUGCAGAAUGAGGCACGGCAGGAUUUACAGUGCCUCUGUGGAAGCUGCACGCUAACUGAAUUUGAGAGUUCAAAAAGCAGUUUCUCUGCAUGGAGAUUGAAGUGAUUGAGCAUAACGAGUGCUAAGUGUCAACAAAAGCAAUUCCUUACUCUGUAGGUACCCUUGAAAUCUAUUUUAUUUUUAAAAAUCAUUCUGAUGUCUACUCUAAUAGGUAUCUUAAAACAAUAAUUUCUUAAAAUCUCUGCUGAUAAGCUUUACAAAACUGUUUGCAUUCUGUUUUUAUCCACGAGAUUGAAAUAAUGGGAAAGCUGAAUGUUCAUGAGGAAAAAAACUGAGCUGCAUGAUGGGCAUUUCUGAAAAAUAACAAAGUAAAAACUUUUACUUAGAUUUGCACCGAAGACACCAUAAAUUUCCUCAAAAUAUAAAAUUUGACAUAUACUUUUUACUACCACUGACACAUAUAUGUAAUGUAGGACUUCCAGUUUCUUCCAAUCUAGAACACAGGGUGAUCUGGAGAUACAGUAAAUUGAAUUAUUUAUUACAGGUCUGUAUAACCGGUAGCUGUGUAAUUCCAUAUGCCAGGAUGCAAACGAAACCAAGAUUCUAGGUCUAACCCCUGAACAGGUCAGUUCGACAGAGAAUCCUAAUUGGUGCACUAUUAUGGACUGAAUGGAUCUCCCCAAAAUUCACAUGUUGAAGCCCACCCCCCAGUGUGACUGUCUCUGGAGAUGGGGCCUUUACGGAGGUAAUUAAGGUCAAACGCAGUCAUAGGACUGGGCUCUGGUCCAACAGAUCAGCGGCUUCCUAGGAGGAGAGCAGAGAACCUGCAAGCUUUCUCUCCACCACGCCCGGACACGGUGAGAAGGCCCCGUCUGCAGGCCGGGGAGCUCCCCGGAAACCGCCCUGCUCGCCGACACCGGCACCAGGACGCGGCCCCUUUCCUCCUCAGUGACAGAACUCUCGAGGGGCAGCCGGGCGUCGGCCACCGACUGCAUUUCCAAGUGUCCCGUGAACUGGACGCGGCUGGGUUCUGACUAAAGUGAUGGACGCGGCCUGACGGGUCAGUCCCUGGGGGGGAGCGGGCUCUGUCCCGCCGCCCUUCUCCUCUCCCCCUGGUCGGGAGGCAGACGUGGUGUGGCGGCGAGAACCGCAGCACCGUGGGCGCAACAGCCAGGAGCCGCCGGCGGGGCCCGAGCUCACCUGGCACCGGGCUGGCCGGCCGGCCACUUCUCGGUGUGUGCGGAGAGGAACUCGGAUCUUGUUCCAGCCAGUGUGUGUUUUGGGUCAUUUGUUAGAGCAUCUUAGGUUUGUUCCCUAACUAAUUCAGUUUUUUAUUUUCACUAUACAUUGUUAAAUACAUAUUUCAGGAAUAGUCUGAAAUGACACAUGCUUAUUAUUAUUUUAGAAUACAGUUUAAAUUUUCUUAAAAUUCAUUCUUGAAGUGGGGCCCGUCCAGGCAUUUUUCUGGCAAAUCAGCAAUGGCAGUAAUGGGCCCUUGACAGCUGCAGCUGCAGUCUACCUUUAUAUUAGGGUAGCACGAUCAAUUGGAGUGGUUAUAAAACUUACAAUAACCAACUUUACACUAUACUACAAUACUUAUUUUUCCUGAACAUUGACUGACUGUAGAUCCCCAACCCUGUUAAGAUUUUAGGAAAGAAGGUAAAGAGAAAAAAAGUGACUCAAAUGGUACUUUGACUUAAUAGGAGUCAGAACUAUCUGCUGAUGACUGUCUUUUGAAUUUCAUGAAACUGCACGGAGUAGCCUUAUAGAUCCCCUGCCAUAAAGCAGUGCCUGAACAAAAUGUCAGAUAGACUGUAGAUAGCGGUAGUUCUUUUUACCAAAUAGCUCUUCAAAAUGGCGAUACUGGUAGGUGUCACAUGAGAUUAAAAUGGAAGAGGAAUUAAUUUAAAAGCAGGAAGAAAAGUCCUCUUUAAAAACUGGUGUUUACUCCUAAGUAUGCUAAAAAAAUUUAUAGAAAUAUACCUGCUUUCCUAGGAAACAUGCAACAUCUUUAAGGCAUCUUGGUAUUCUUUGCUAAGGAAAAGGACAUAAGGAAGGAUGUGAAAACUGAGCAGGUGGCAAGAAAGAUGCUAGUUCUUUCCUCCCCAUUUCCUCUCACCCCAAGUCAUUUGAGGCAAACCUAUUUCCAGGGAAUCAGGGUAAAUAUGUGGUGCCUGCUUGCUGUUUCCAUAAAUAACAGGAAAGCUGUCCGCUGAGAUCAGCCCAACAGCUGCUCAAACAAGACUUCCCCUGUCCUGCAUCCCUCUUGUCAUUACCAUGGCUAAAAAGUCAGCAGAUGUAGCUUUUAGAAGUACAUAGACACUGUCAACAGAAUUAUCAGCUCUUUGUCCCUGUCCCAAACCAUGGGGAAAUGAUAGUUUAUGGAGUAUUCGUGUUAAAAUUUAACAAGAAGUAAAUUUGGUAGGAUAAAACUAUAUUCUGCGUUUCCUAACAGUUCAAGAACUCCUUUUUUAAGCCUGCCAAUAUGCUCUGAACUUCUCCUUUAAACUCAGCAAUUUACAGCCAGACAGAAAGCCAAGUGAAUGAAGCAAUCGCUUUAUUGGAGCCUGCAGAUGUUGCAUCACAAUUUUUAAAGAGAGGUGUUCAGGAUAAAAAUUUUUGACUGCUAAUUAAAGAUAAAAUUUUGAGGAUUCAUGUAUCAUAUUCAGAGUGCCCUUUUUAUGUUUCGUCAAGGUAAAAUAUUGUGAUUACAAAUGUAUAUAUACACACACAGAUUUACACACUACUCUGUGCUAGCUGUAUUAAAUUAUAAAACAGAUUGAUGUUAUCAUCACUUUGAUUAAGAAGAAUCUCCCGGACUUUGGCAAUUUCAAUACUAAAUGAGAAACUGAAUCCCAAACUGGUGAGGUUUCAAGUGCUUCAAUGAAUUUGUCUCCUGGAUAAAUCUAAUCUCAGCUUAUUAAAAGAUGUUCUGUUCAUGAGA